rnacentral:tRNA from 1 species
GCGCGAUUGACUGUAGAAUUUAAAGUGAUCAAUCGGUUGCUAGUUCGAAUCUGGCAAGCCGGACUUUUUUAAAAAAAUUUAAA